rnacentral:lncRNA from 10 species
CUAUUUUAUCCACAGCCCUCAGAAGCAGCUGGUCUGCCUGGCUUUACUCUCCAUAACACUCCACAGAACAGUUUUGCAGUUCCCAGAGCUGUGCCUUCAAUGGACACUAGGUUUCAGGUGACCAAAGAUGCUAUCAGAGAAUAUGACUUUCUCAUAGGAGAGAAUGAGUUUCCCGGUAUGUUGGACCAUCUCAGCCAGAUAUUUCUGUGUCAGAAACCCAUCAGUAACACUCUAGACUGGAGAUCAGCAAAUAGAUUCUGUAAAGGGCCAGAGAGUAAAUAUUUUAGGACUUGUGAGCCAUAUAGUCUCUACAACUAGUCGACUGUGCCCUUUUAUCAUCAGAUAAUACCUAAUGAAGAGGCAUGACUCUGUUCCAAUAGAAAUUUAAGAAAGCAGAUGGGCUGGGCUGAGCCUCAAUACUGUACUUCAUGUUAGAUCCGAACUAGUUGGAAAAAUUAAAGCAAAUACAUAGUGAAAGGAUCUGAUCUUCACAUGAUCCAACCGGCGUUGGGUCUCAGCAAACCCAACUUUGCAGGUUAAAUUCCACACAUGAACUGUGGUUGAACUGGGGAUGGUG